CUGAUUGAAGAUGAUGCCCCUAAGUUGUAUCGCAGAAAAUGAAGCAUGGCUCCUGGUGAGGCUGCGCGCACCCCGGGCGAGGAGCAUCUCUCACCCGGACAGCGGGGAUCCAACCGCACUCAGGGCUCGCUUUGUUAAUCUUCCAAAUCCUUCAGGCCAGAGCACAAUCCCUUGCAGAGGCCUGAAUCAGAGCACCAACAGGAAAUGAAGGGGAGAAGAGAGCCGCACUCAUUAACCUUUUCCUUUCAAUCAGGCCAGUACCAAACUUCUCGCCUGUAACUCUCAAAGCUCUCACCGAAUCAGGGUCUCGGA
rnacentral:lncRNA from 1 species